GGAGAGGUGACCGAGUGGCUGAAGGUGCACGCCUGGAAAGCGUGUGUACGCCGCAAGCGUACCGAGGGUUCGAAUCCCUCUCUCUCCG
rnacentral:tRNA from 1 species